GGAUGCUCUUGUAAGAAAAAGAGGUGAAGACCAUGCUUGGCUCAUUGAUGAUUGAAGAACUGACAUCAUCCUGGUGUCCAAAUGUGAAAACAAACACCAUUUCCUACUUUGACUUCAGGUGAGACUGUUCAGGGAUUCCCAUGAGGUCUCUCUGUCAUGGUGCAUUUUCCACCUGUGGUGUGAUAAAGUCAAAAGGAUGGGCUCUGUCUCAGAGGACUGUGGGCUGCCUGGAAUGAAUGAGUAUCCACACCACCUGCAUGCUGGCCAGAUAUUGAUCCAGCUGGACACAGCAAUGAAACCUAUGGAGCCGUGGAAGAUAGCAGUCAUCACUUUGUCAGUGGUGUUGGGUUUGGCCCUUGUCAUUGGCUUGAUCGCGUAUGUUUUGUGCAAUGGUAAG
rnacentral:lncRNA from 1 species